rnacentral:tRNA from 1 species
GGCCUGAUGGUCUAGGAGUAUGAUUCUCGCUUUGGGUGCGAGAGGUCCCGGGUUCAAAUCCCGGUCAGGCCC